UACGGAAGGGGCAAGCGUUGUUCGGAUUUACUGGGCGUAAAGGGCGCGUAGGCGGUCAGCACAAGUCAGUUGUGAAAUCUCCGGGCUUAACUCGGAAAGGUCAACUGAUACUGUGCGACUAGAGUGCAGAAGGGGCAACUGGAAUUCUCGGUGUAGCGGUGAAAUGCGUAGAUAUCGAGAGGAACACCUGCGGCGAAGGCGGGUUGCUGGGCUGACACUGACGCUGAUGCGCGAAAGCCAGGGGAGCGAACGGG
rnacentral:rRNA from 1 species